rnacentral:rRNA from 1 species
AUUGGACGCUGGCGGCAGGCCUAACACAUGCAAGUCGAGCGGAUGACGGGAGCUUGCUCCUUGAUUCAGCGGCGGACGGGUGAGUAAUGCCUAGGAAUCUGCCUGGUAGUGGGGGACAACGUUUCGAAAGGAACGCUAAUACCGCAUACGUCCUACGGGAGAAAGCAGGGGACCUUCGGGCCUUGCGCUAUCAGAUGAGCCUAGGUCGGAUUAGCUAGUUGGUGGGGUAAUGGCUCACCAAGGCGACGAUCCGUAACUGGUCUGAGAGGAUGAUCAGUCACACUGGAACUGAGACACGGUCCAGACUCCUACGGGAGGCAGCAGUGGGGAAUAUUGGACAAUGGGCGAAAGCCUGAUCCAGCCAUGCCGCGUGUGUGAAGAAGGUCUUCGGAUUGUAAAGCACUUUAAGUUGGGAGGAAGGGCAGUAAGCUAAUACCUUGCUGUUUUGACGUUACCGACAGAAUAAGCACCGGCUAACUCUGUGCCAGCAGCCGCGGUAAUACAGAGGGUGCAAGCGUUAAUCGGAAUUACUGGGCGUAAAGCGCGCGUAGGUGGUUUGUUAAGUUGGAUGUGAAAGCCCCGGGCUCAACCUGGGAACUGCAUCCAAAACUGGCAAGCUAGAGUACGGUAGAGGGUGGUGGAAUUUCCUGUGUAGCGGUGAAAUGCGUAGAUAUAGGAAGGAACACCAGUGGCGAAGGCGACCACCUGGACUGAUACUGACACUGAGGUGCGAAAGCGUGGGGAGCAAA